rnacentral:lncRNA from 1 species
AGGCUAGACACAAAUUCAUUCUUGAAUAGAAAAAUCAAAAUACAACUCCAGUCCAAAAAUUGAUUGCACUACAUUAAUUUGCAAGACAUAAGAGAUGUACAUUUAUACUAUAGCUCAUAAAAGAAACCUUUCAAAUAAGCCAUGAUAUUGGGCUUAGGGCCUAGGCCCAGACUUGUCACAAUUAUUUUUUUCCUCUCUGGGCUAAUAUGCAAGUCUGACCCAUAUUAAACCAAAAAAUGGGCCUUGAAGAUCUGGCCCAUGGCCUUGGCCAUUACCAUGCUUGAAAAAUUCAAUAAUAAAAUGAUUACACAUCUAAGCAGUAGUUGUUUGAAAUCACGAAACCAAGACUUCAUAUAUUACAAUACUCCAAAUAAAAUGAAAGCUUUCCCAAAUUACAUUAUAACCUAUUAAUACAUGAAAUAACUACAUAAACGAGACUAAUCUAUUACAAGUUUCUGUAUAAUUAAUAACCUAAAGAAUGCUUUGCCUUUUUUGAACAUGACUUGUCUAUCAAAGUUGGGCCUCUUCUUGUGUUAGAACAGUAGGAUCCAAACAUUAGCUCUUGAGCAUGCUAAUUUGGUCAACUAGCGACCAAAUCUACAGGUAUUAGCUCAGGUUUAGCUAACAUCUUUAUGGCCAUUUUCAUACCCCAAACAACAAAAUAACACACGGGUUUCAGCAUAUUAUCAUGUCUAAUCCUUGGCUCUAACAUAUGUCGAAUUGGCCAAUCAAUGGCCAAAUCUACAAGUUAUAGCAUACUUGAUCUCAAACAAAGCAAACAUUAUAUUAUAAGUCAUUUAUGAGCAUGGAAGGUAUGGACAACAACUUUAAUAGCUAAAAUAAAGAAAAAUCAGCAUAGAGUUUCCACUUAGCAAAUUCAGGUUCUUUAACAUCUUUUAGGAAGAUCACAAGUAUCAAACUUACACAAUGUUCAUAAUAGUAUAUCUCAACUUGCAAUCAUAUCAACAAAGUUUAGAGUAUGCUAAUCAAACAAACAUAAAAGAAAGCACUUGUUUGCUACACAAAUUCUUGUAACCUUGAUAUUUAUAAUUCAUCAAUCAAAACAGUUACAUGGAGGAGGUUUUGAAUCAGUACCUUAAACAGCAAAAGAUGAGCAACUCCUAAGAUAAGAAGGCACUGAUUAAAGAACCUCCCUCCCCCCCUCAAUAAAAAAGAGCAGCAACAUAACUCAAAAACAAGCCAGCAAACGAGUGAACGACGGAGUUUCAAAACUAAAACCAGCCACUUGAAAGCCAGAAAUUUCAACCACAUAACCCUAGAAAACCGCCUAUUUCAAAUCAUUUCUAGCUUGUUAAAAAAAGGAGAGAUGUUUCUAGAAAUUUUCUGAGAUUUUCUCAAGUCUAAAAUUUUCAGAGAAAAUAGUAAUUUUAUGCAGAGAAUAAUGCUAAUGAUUUCCUUGUGAGUGAUGGAAUGUUUUCCUUUUAUAGAGUGCACAAAAAGCAUCAAAAGAAAGGAAUAUUCUGACCUAGUACAACAUCUUUUUACAAUUGUAUUAUUCUUUUUCCUUAUCCAAAAUCAGCAUUUGCUAAGGAUAAGGACAAUUAUCCUAAGUUCUAGAACUUCCUAAUUUUAUCUAACGUGAAACUCUAAUUUUACCCUUUGAAUUACCACCUAUUUCAAUUCUAUCCUAAACUUUUAGGUUCAGUUAAUUCCUUAAAGUUUCUAAUUAUGGGCAAAUCAGAACAAACAAGGACAAGCCUGGAAAUGAUUGAAAAUUUUAGAUCAAAAUGCCUAAGAGGAUCAAAUGGAUGCAAUCUAAACCAACCGAAGGAAAUGCUUAAUUUAUCAAGCCUAAACCAGAAUUGAAACUAACAAAUAAUGCACUUAAAUAGCAAUCAAAACAAAAUCAAAGAUGCAAUCGCACAAAAAAGCCUAGAAUUCAACAUAUAUCAGUUUGUAAAACUUAAACAAAUGAAACAACCACAACCUAAAUACUUGUUAAUUCUCCUAGAAUAAGAUAUUAGAUCAGUUUAGGAAAACAAAACAAACACUUGAAAUAUUGAAUCAUAGAAAUGAACCGUAGGCUAACUAAAAUCGAGCAAUUGAAAACAUGUUUUUUUCCCAUUCUUUUUUUUAAUAUAAUAAACAAAAACAAUUAUUAAACAAAGCUAAAGAUAUGUGAAUCAACAGAAAAAGAAUCUAAAAUAGCCUAACUAGAACAUGCAGUCAUAAUAAAAAUAAUUAAACAUAUAAAAGAAGAACAAAAGGUAAAACAAACAACAGAAGAAAAGAAAGAAAUUUACCUAAGUUUUAUUUCAAACUGGAUCAGUUAUGAACUCCUUCAAAUCCUUAAAGCAUGAAUGGACUUUAGCUGCCAUUAAUCGAUUGUUCUUAACAAAAACAAUCGACUAAUGGAGGUUUUGAGUUCAUUUGACCAAAUAUAGACCGAGAAAAGAGGAAAGAAAAAAUUAAGAUUUCGAGUCUUAGAUUCGAAAUUAGGGCGACUAUGGGCUUGUUCGAAAGUAAUUAUGGGGAUAUUUGGGGAAAGGAUGAGAAGGUGAUUAUAUAGUGUGAAUUUGGUGGGAUUUGGAGCGGUUAAGGUUUUGGCUGUGAUUUUUUAUCUAAGAUUCGAGGAUUUUGGCUGGGAUUCGAGGGGAAAGGAUUGGAGAUUUGAAAUGAAGAGGUUAUGGGAAAUUCAUGGUGAAAACUUGGAGAAGAUUAGCGGUGAUCCGCCGCCGUGAGGCGAUUUCCAACAUGCGGACCAGCGGAAUAGGACAGAAACGGCAAUGGGUGAGAGGAUGGUUAGGGUUUAAAGUUUAGAGAGAGUAGAGACGGUGAGUGAGGGGUCUUUAGGGGGGGUAGGGGGUUUGUCUGAGAGUGGGUUGGACGGGUGGACUAGUUUGAGCUUG